rnacentral:rRNA from 1 species
CCUACGGGAGGCAGCAGUGGGGGAUAUUGCACAAUGGGGGAAACCCUGAUGCAGCGACGCCGCGUGGGUGAAGAAGCGCCUCGGCGCGUAAAGCCCUGUCAGCAGGGAAGAAAAUGACGGUACCUGAAGAAGAAGCCCCGGCUAACUACGUGCCAGCAGCCGCGGGAAUACGUAGGGGUCAAGCGUUCUCCGGAUGUACUGGGUGUAAAGGGGGCGCAGACGGCGAUGCAAGUCAGGAGUGAAAGCCCGGGGCCCAACCCCGGGACUGCUCUUGGAACUGGGUGGCUAGAGUGCCGGAGGGGCAAGCGGAAUUCCUGGUGUAGGAGUGAAAUGCGUAGAUAGCAGGAGGAACACCGGUGGCGAAGGCGGCCGGCUGGACUGCAACUGACGUUGAGGCCCGAAAGCGUGGGGAGCAAACAGGAUUAGAUACCCGUGUAGUC